rnacentral:tRNA from 1 species
GGGUGGGGCCUGUAGCUCAGAGGAUUAGAGCACGUGGCUACGAACCACGGUGUCGGGUGUUCGAAUCCCUCCUCACCCA